rnacentral:rRNA from 1 species
CAUGUAGUCGCACGGGCAGCCUUCGGGCUGCCAGUGGCGAACGGCUGAGGAACACGUACGAACCUGCCCGCCUGUGGGGAAUAACGCGCCGAAAGGUGUGCUAAUACCGCGUACGCUUGGGGGUUGCCCCAAGGAAAGUCUUCGGGCGCGGGCGGAGGGGCGUGCGGCCCAUCAGGUUGUUGGCGGGGUAACGGCCCACCAAGCCGCUGACGGGUAGCUGGUCUGUGAGGACGAUCAGCCAGACUGGGACUGCGACACGGCCCAGACACCUACGGGUGGCAGCAGCAAGGAAUCUUCUACAAUGGGCGCAAGCCCGAUAGAGCAACGCCGCGUGGAGGAUGACGGCCUUCGGGUUGUAAACUCCUUUCGGGGGGAGGAUGAUGACAGUACCCCCAGAAGCAGCCCCGGCUAACUCUGUGCCAGCAGCCGCGGUAAUACAGAGGGGGCAAGCGUUGUCCGGAAUUACUGGGCGUAGAGCGCGCGCAGGCGGCCCGUGACGUGCCGUGUGACAAGCGGGGGCUCAACCCCCGAGGGGCACGAUAGACGGGCGGGCUGGAGGCAGGGAGAGGGAUGUGGAAUGCCCGGUGGAGCGGUGAAAUGCGUAGAGAUCGGGCGGAACACCAGCGGCGAAGGCGGCAUCCUGGUCCUGACCUGACGCUGAGGCGCGAGAGCGUGGGGAGCAAACCGGAUUAGAUACCCGGGUAGUCCACGCCGUAAACGAUGUGUACCCGGCGCUGGGGGGUGAUUGCGCCCCUCGGCGCCCCAGCUUACGCGCUAAGUACACCGCCUGGGGACUAC